rnacentral:rRNA from 1 species
GAUGAACGCUAGCGGCAGGCUUAAUACAUGCAAGUCGAGGGGCAGCACGGGUAGCAAUACCUGGUGGCGACCGGCAAACGGGUGCGGAACACGUACGCAACUUUCCUCUGAGCGGGGAAUAGCCCGGGGAAACCCGGAUUAAUACCCCAUAAUAUAAUGGAGAAGCAUUUCUUUAUUAUUAAAGAUUUAUCACUCAGAGAUGGGCGUGCGCCUGAUUAGGUAGUUGGCGGGGUAACGGCCCACCAAGCCUGCGAUCAGUAGCUGAUGUGAGGGCAUGAUCAGCCACACGGGCACUGAGACACGGGCCCGACUCCUACGGGAGGCAGCAGUAAGGAAUAUUGGUCAAUGGACGAAAGUCUGAACCAGCCAUGCCGCGUGGAGGAU